rnacentral:rRNA from 1 species
UCCCAGACUCCUACGGGAGGCAGCAGUGGGGAAUAUUGCACAAUGGGGGAAACCCUGAUGCAGCGACGCCGCGUGAGUGAAGAAGUAAUUCGUUAUGUAAAGCUCUAUCAGCAGGGAAGAAUAAAUGACGGUACCUGAGUAAGAAGCCCCGGCUAACUACGUGCCAGCAGCCGCGGUAAUACGUAGGGGGCAAGCGUUAUCCGGAUUUACUGGGUGUAAAGGGAGCGUAGACGGCGAUGCAAGCCAGAUGUGAAAGCCCGCGGCUCAACUGCGGUAGUGCAUUUGGAACUGUAUGGCUGGAGUGCAGGAGAGGCAGGCGGAAUUCCUAGUGUAGCGGUGAAAUGCGUAGAUAUUAGGAGGAACACCAGUGGCGAAGGCGGCUUACUGGACUGUAACUGACGUUGAGGCUCGAAAGCGUGGGGAGCAAACAGGAUUAGAUACCCGAGUA